CUUGGAGUGAAUUUGGAGAAAAAUGUGGCUUUAAAGCAGGAUGCAACCCACGGUAGCAUUUCAAAUCCCAACUAUAUAUUUGGAGUGGAUCCACAUCAAGCCUCAUUUGUUUCAGAGAAGAAAAAACCCAUGUUUCUUUCUAAGAAAUGGAGAAAUCUUCUUUGCAGGUGUAAUGCUUGCACAGAAUUCUAUGUCCAAAAGGGCAUUGGCUAUCUAAUUGAUGAGGACUCAAUUGAGGAAUAUGAAAAGGUGGCAAAGGAAAAGAGGAAGGAGAAAUUAGAGCAACAAGAAGGAGUGGAGUUAAAUUUUCUCAGCAAACUUGGUCAUGUCCAAAAGAUUGAGAUUCUGAAUGGCAUUGCUGACAUGAAGAAUGAGCUCAGGUGCAAUCAAAUGCACAGCUAGUGAGAAAAGGGAAGUGCCAUUUUUAGGUCUUCCAUUUAAUUAGUAUUGAGAGUUUGCAGAGUUUUAGAUCAUAAGGAUUUGAAAUCAGUGUUGAUAUUACUUCAGAUUACAGGUAAUGCACUUACAUCUUUUUGAAAAUUUUAUAUCUGGUGCUAUUUGUUAGG